rnacentral:rRNA from 1 species
GAUGAACGCUGGCGGCGUGCCUAAUACAUGCAAGUCGAGCGAACGGACGAGAAGCUUGCUUCUCUGAUGUUAGCGGCGGACGGGUGAGUAACACGUGGAUGACCUACCUAUAAGACUGGGAUAACUUCGGGAAACCGGAGCUAAUACCGGAUAAUAUUUUGAACCGCAUGGUUCAAAAGUGAAAGACGGUCUUGCUGUCACUUAUAGAUGGAUCCGCGCUGCAUUAGCUAGUUGGUAAGGUAACGGCUUACCAAGGCAACGAUGCAUAGCCGACCUGAGAGGGUGAUCGGCCACACUGGAACUGAGACACGGUCCAGACUCCUACGGGAGGCAGCAGUAGGGAAUCUUCCGCAAUGGGCGAAAGCCUGACGGAGCAACGCCGCGUGAGUGAUGAAGGUCUUCGGAUCGUAAAACUCUGUUAUUAGGGAAGAACAUAUGUGUAAGUAACUGUGCACAUCUUGACGGUACCUAAUCAGAAAGCCACGGUUAACUACGUG